rnacentral:lncRNA from 1 species
CCUCUGUAUCCACUAGAGGGCAGCUCGGGACUCCUGAAAAGUCCAGUUUAAAUGUGUUCAUAAUUAUGCUAGGUCUUUGAGAUGUGUCGAUUGAAUGUUUUGAAUCUUACCCACUGAACCUUAAAUCAAUGGUUUCUUUCAUUGAAACGGUGAUACAUGAUCUGCAAUAUUAGGACCGUCUCUGGGAAAAGCACACGGGGCUCGAAAAGUUAGCAAACGCUCGCAGAGCAGUUCAUUUGUCACGGUAAUGUAAAUCUGUCAUUGUGAUUUAUUG